rnacentral:rRNA from 1 species
UACGGGAGGGUGCGAGCGUUGUCCGGAAUCACUGGGCGUAAAGGGCGCGUAGGGCGGCGCGGAUAGUCGGCGGUGAAAGCCCGGAGCUCAACUCCGGGUCGGCCGUCGAUACUUCCGGGCUUGAGCACUGUAGAGGCAGAUGGAAUUCCGGGUGUAGCGGUGGAAUGCGUAGAGAUCCGGAAGAACACCGGUGGCGAAGGCGGCUGACUGGACCAUUACUGACGCUGAGGCGCGAAAGCGUGGGGAGCAAACAGG